UCGCUUUGAUUACAAAACACCCGCACUCCUGAGAGUAAUCUAUGAUGUUGAAAAGGUAAAAAUGGUUGAAUUUCUUGAUAUGAGCCA